rnacentral:tRNA from 1 species
GGCAGUGGAGCCUAGUGGGUCAAGCACAGGACUGGGACUCAGGAGACCUGGGUUCCAUUCCCUGCUCUGCCA